rnacentral:rRNA from 1 species
UAAAGAAAGCGUAAUAGCUCACUGGUCGAGUCGGCCUGCGCGGAAGAUGUAACGGGGCUAAACCAUGCACCGAAGCUGCGGCAGCGACACUAUGUGUUGUUGGGUAGGGGAGCGUUCUGUAAGCCUGCGAAGGUGUACUGUGAGGUAUGCUGGAGGUAUCAGAAGUGCGAAUGCUGACAUAAGUAACGAUAAAGCGGGUGAAAAGCCCGCUCGCCGGAAGACCAAGGGUUCCUGUCCAACGUUAAUCGGGGCAGGGUGAGUCGACCCCUAAGGCGAGGCCGAAAGGCGUAGUCGAUGGGAAACAGGUUAAUAUUCCUGUACUUGGUGUUACUGCGAAGGGGGGACGGAGAAGGCUAUGUUGGCCGGGCGACGGUUGUCCCGGUUUAAGCGUGUAGGCUGGUUUUCCAGGCAAAUCCGGAAAAUCAAGGCUGAGGCGUGAUGACGAGGCACUACGGUGCUGAAGCAACAAAUGCCCUGCUUCCAGGAAAAGCCUCUAAGCAUCAGGUAACAUCAAAUCGUACCCCAAACCGACACAGGUGGUCAGGUAGAGAAUACCAAGGCGCUUGAGAGAACUCGGGUGAAGGAACUAGGCAAAAUGGUGCCGUAACUUCGGGAGAAGGCACGCUGAUAUGUAGGUGAAGUCCCUCGCGGAUGGAGCUGAAAUCAGUCGAAGAUACCAGCUGGCUGCAACUGUUUAUUAAAAACACAGCACUGUGCAAACACGAAAGUGGACGUAUACGGUGUGACGCCUGCCCGGUGCCGGAAGGUUAAUUG